rnacentral:tRNA from 1 species
GGAAGAGGAUCGUCCCCGGUGGGGCGUCCGGUCUGCAAAACCGGGUGGGGUUGCCCUGCAGUCCCAGGUGGGUUCGACUCCCACCCUCUUCCGCCA